AUGGAGUUAAGGAUUUUCAAGCAGGGAGAGCAAUAUAUUAACCGAUCCAAGGUUCUAAAGCAACAACUCAAGGCACUUCUGGCAGAGAGAAUAAAUGAACCAGUUGCAUUGCUUGAGCUCAUAGACUCCAUCCAACGAUUGGGAGUGGUAUAUCACUUUGAAGAGGAGAUCCAAGUGGCUCUAGACAACAUGUACACCAGUGGAAAUAUCCAGCAGUCAUGGAGUGAUGAUCUCUACACAGUCUCACUCGCAUUUCGGCUACUCAGACAACAUGGAUAUCAUAUGUCAUCCGAUGUAUUUGGUGCAUUCAAGGACGAAAAAGGGAGUUUCAAAGUAAGUUUGGUUGGAGAUGUGAAGGGAAUGUUGAGCUUGUAUGAAGCUUCUCACUUGUGCUUACUUGGAGAACAUAUAUUAGAUGCAGCUUGGGCUUUCAAUAGUAGGAACCUCAAGAUGGCUUUGAUGGAUCAACUAGAGCCAAGUCUUGCUAAAAAAAGUACAACAUUCCUUAGAGAUUCCGUUGCAUUGGAGAAUGAUCAGGCAAGAGGCUAAACAUUACAUGGGAGUCUAUGAGCAAGAGGAUCACACGGUCCCCAUUUUGCUUGAAUUUGCUACAAUGGACUUCAACUCAGUACAAUGCAUACACCAAGAAGAUCUUACACAUAUGUCAAAGUGGUGGGCAGAUUUGAGGUUCGCAACAGACCUACCGUUCGUUAGAGACCGGCUAGUUGAAACUUUAUGGUGGACGAUAGGGCUUAUUUUCGAGCCUGAAUUCAGCAUGACUAGGUUGGCCCUCGCCAAAAUAAGCUGCCUAAUUGCAUCUAUUGAUGAUGUUUAUGACAUUUAUGGGUCAGAAGAUGAAUUGGAACUCUUCACCAUGGCGGUUCAAAGAUGGGAUUUAAAAGCCAUGAAGAGCCUUCCAGACUAUAUGAAAAUAUGUUAUUUGGCAUUAUACAACCCAAUUGUAUGUUAUUUGGCAUUAUACAACACAAUUGACAAGAGAACUUACAACAUUAUGAAGGAAAAAGGAUGGGAUAUCAAAUACUACCUUAAGAAGAUGAACUAUGUAAUGCAUUCCUGGUUGAGGCAAAGUGGUUCAAGAUGGGAUGAGAUCCAAAGAGGAGAUGCACCAACAUCUAUUCAAUGCUACAUGCAUGAAACCGGGGCAUCUGAGGAACUAGCUCGUAGUGACAUGAAGGAGUUGAUCAGGAAUUGUUGGAAAAAGCUCAAGGGAGAGUGUCUUACUCCUUCCCUCUUUCCUAAACCAUAUACGAAUAUUGCAGUUAACCUUGCACGGAUGGCCUAUUGUAUGUACCACAAUGGAGAUGGCUAUGGAAAUCCAGACCUUCAAACCACAGAACGUAUCAAGGAGUUGCUCAUUCAACCAAUGUAA